rnacentral:rRNA from 1 species
GUGAGGAAUAUUGGACAAUGGAUGGAAAUCUGAUCCAGCCAUGCCGCGUGCAGGAAGACGGCCCUAUGGGUUGUAAACUGCUUUUAUACGGGAGCAAUAAGGUCUAUGCAUAGAUUGAUGAGAGUACCGUAUGAAUAAGCAUCGGCUAACUCCGUGCCAGCAGCCGCGGUAAUACGGAGGAUGCGAGCGUUAUCCGGAUUUAUUGGGUUUAAAGGGUGCGUAGGAGGCUUUGUAAGUCAGCGGUGAAAUUUUGCAGCUUAACUGUAAAAGCGCCGUUGAUACUGUGCAGCUAGGAUUUGGUUGCUGUGGGCGGAAUGUGUGGUGUAUCGGUGAAAUGCAUAGAGAUCACACAGAAUAUCGAUUGCGAAGGCAGCUCACAAAGCCAAUAUUGACGCUGAGGCACGAAAGUGUGGGGAUCAAACAGGAUUAGAUACCCCUGUAGUCC